AAAUGUCAGGGUCAGAAGGUCUAAGCCCACAUGAGCUUGCUCAUAAGUGGGUGAAAGACCUUAGGACCCGCCCCGAUAUGAGCAUAAAAGUGGGGGAAACCCCACGAUAUGCGAAUAUUGGGCAGGAUUGUGGGAGUGCGCAGCACGGAACAAUCCGCAGACAUUU
rfam:Roseburia sp. CAG:303 genomic scaffold, scf317